GAAGGUAAAUGAUGCAAAUUGUUCUUAUCCUACACUCUGAACUGCAAUGCAGACCAUAACUCCGCUUAUUAUCUGAUGCCUUC
rnacentral:snoRNA from 1 species